GCUGUGAUGGUGUAGUGGUUAGUACUCUGCAUUGCGGCCACAGCAAUCUCAGUUCAAAUCCGAGUCUCAGCA
rnacentral:tRNA from 1 species